rnacentral:lncRNA from 1 species
GGAGAACUCAGGACUGGGUGUCCAUCAGAAUAUUUUGCCGUGCACAGCGAGAGCGUUUUCUCCAUUCUGAGAGAACCUGAAGACCUAGGCUUCCCAAGGCGACCUGCGUGGAGGACUCAUCUCCUCGCCUUUUCAUAACCUCGCAUCUAACCAGGCGCCUGCAUUCACCAGUCCUCGCAGUUCAGAGGAGGUAAUAUUCAACCUGCCCUUUGAAGAACAGGUGGAAUUUGACGGAGAAGGAAACAGCAGGACAAGCACCCUCAGGAAGGAGCAGCUGCUGGUCAUGGAGCCAUGAACACAUUGAGCAGUCGGGAAAAGGAAGUAGAAGAAUCCUAUGGUAGCCAGGUGGGCGAAGGGGAGCAAGGACGAUACACCUGCUUUGAAGAAGUCGCCAUUUGACCUGCCAAGUGAGUGACCAGGUAGCACCCAGUUCUGAGGGCACAGCAAUGUUGAGAGGGAGGGAGUGGGUGUUUAACCUUUGAGUGCUGUCCACCAGCCGCUCUUUUCCACAGAGAGAUGCUAAUCCCAAUACCCCCACCCCACCCAGAGACUCUAAGUUUUGUUCCCC